rnacentral:rRNA from 1 species
UACGUAGGGUGCGAGCGUUGUCCGGAAUUAUUGGGCGUAAAGAGCGUGUAGGCGGUUUGGUAGGUCCGCUGUGAAACUCGAGCUCAACCUCGAGACGCCGGUGGAAACCAUCAGACUAGAGUCCGGAAGAGGAGAGUGGAAUUCCUUGGUGUAGCGGUGAAAUGCGCAGAUAUCAGGAAGAACACCCGUGGCUAAGGCGGCUCUCUAGUACGGUAC